CCAACCAUAGCCCAGUUGGUAGAGCGGAGGGCUGUAGAGGCAUGAUUUUGCACAGAGAUCCUUAAGUCGCUGGUUCCAAUCUGGCUGGUCAGA
rnacentral:tRNA from 1 species